rnacentral:rRNA from 1 species
UACAGAGGUGGCAAGCGUUGUUCGGAAUCACUGGGCGUAAAGCGCGUGUAGGCGGCCUUCUUAGUCUGGUGUGAAAGCCCGGGGCUCAACCUCGGAAGAGCAUUGGAUACUGGAAGGCUGGAGUACCGGAGAGGAGGGUGGAAUUCCUGGUGUAGCGGUGAAAUGCGUAGAUAUCAGGAGGAACACCGGUGGCGAAGGCGGCCCUCUGGACGGAUACUGACGCUGAGACGCGACAGCGUGGGGAGCAAACAGG